rnacentral:rRNA from 1 species
GGUGAGUAAUGCUUGGGAAUCUAGCUUAUGGAGGGGGAUAACUACGGGAAACUGUAGCUAAUACCGCGUAGUAUCGAGAGAUGAAAGUGUGGGACCUUCGGGCCACAUGCCAUAGGAUGAGCCCAAGUGGGAUUAGGUAGUUGGUGAGGUAAAGGCUCACCAAGCCGACGAUCUCUAGCUGGUCUGAGAGGAUGACCAGCCACGCUGGGACUGAGACACGGCCCAG